rnacentral:other from 1 species
UGCGGUCUGCGCCUCACGACAGGUCAUCACAUCCCUGGGGCCAUACUCGAUCCUAAGGGAGCUGUCCCUGACCCGACCCGUGGGUUUGGUCACACGGUGCCCACCUACUUCUGUAGGCACCCAGGAUCGUAAAGUACCAUCGGUUUGCGUGGAUCGCAC